CAAUGAAACACUGGAAUGACUGUGGGAGGAUGCUGGGGGGGGGGCAGUCCAUUACCUUGCUAGGCCCCAUUUGACCAUGAUCCGGCUCUGAAGUGAACUCUUUGUUUUUUCCUCUUGUAGGCAUUAGUGUCUCCAUGCAUGAAAAGUGGUACAUGACUGAAGGAAACUCAGAAGGAACUACAAACCAGACCAGAGAGAACCAUGAUUAUUUUUAAAAUUAACAGCAGCCUUCCACUUGUACAGUAGUACAAUGCAGUAGAGAGUUUUACAGUGGAAAAGUUUUUUUUUUUUUUUUUAACUGAACCUGAUGAAUUGGAUUAAAUUCAGCCAGGGCGUUGUGGACUACUGGACUGAAGAAAGUCUCAGUGUGACAAUGGAUGAACUGUUACAAAUGGAGCUUCAAGGCAACAAAGCACAUAAUGACACUGGACAGGAUACUGAUACACUUUGACCUUAUAAUGUCUAGAUAAUACUCAAUGACAAUUUUCAACUAACCAAAUCCUUAUUUUUAUUCAAUUCUCCUAUACCAAGAAGCGUUCCGAAAAAAAAAAAACAUCAGUAUUAUGGACAUUAUUAACUAUAGCUUGAAAAAUCAUUACUCUUCAUUGGAAAAGUCAAACCUCUCCUUCCUUCGAGGAAUUUAAAAGUCUUGCCUUAACAGUUGGUCGUAUGGAAGUUUCAACUAUGAAGAACAGAACCAGCAGAACUACUUCAUACAACAACACAUGGAUGACAACAAUAGAGAAAAUAGAUGUUUACUUAAAAUGAUAGUUAUUACAAAGUUCACAUUGUAUUAAACUGUGUAGACACCAAUGUAAAUAGUUUCAUAAAGUUAUAAAGUUGUAUUGUUAUAAGAUUGUAUUACAUUAUAUAUUUUUUCUUUGAUGGAUGUUACUAUAAACAAAAUUU